CGUAGGGUGCGAGCGUUAAUCGGAAUUACUGGGCGUAAAGCGUGCGCUAGGCGGUUAUAUAAGACAGAUGUGAAAUCCCCGGGCUCAACCUGGGAACUGCAUUUGUGACUGUAUAGCUAGAGUACGGCAGAGGGGGAUGGAAUUCCGCGUGUAGCAGUGAAAUGCGUAGAUAUGCGGAGGAACACCGAUGGCGAAGGCAAUCCCCUGGGCCUGUACUGACGCUCAUGCACGAAAGCGUGGGGAGCAAACAGGAUUAGAUACCCUGGUAGUCCACGCCCUAAACGAUGUCAACUGGUUGUUGGGUCUUCACUGACUCAGUAACGAAGCUAACGCGUGAAGUUGACCGCCUGGGGAGUACGGCCGCAAGGUUG
rnacentral:rRNA from 1 species